rnacentral:rRNA from 1 species
GGGUUGUGAGGUUAAGCGACUAAGCGUACACGGUGGAUGCCUAGGCAGUCAGAGGCGAUGAAGGGCGUGCUAAUCUGCGAAAAGCGUCGGCAAGGUGAUAUGAACCGUUACACCCGACGAUACCCGAAUGGGGAAACCCAGUGUGUUUCGACACAUUAUCAUCACAUGAAUACAUAGUGUGAUGAGGCGAACCGGGGGAACUGAAACAUCUCAGUACCCCGAGGAAAAGAAAUCAACCGAGAUUCCCCCAGUAGCGGCGAGCGAACGGGGAGGAGCCCAGAGUCUGCAUCAGCUUGUGUGUCAGUGGAAGCGUCUGGAAAGUCGCACAACAAAGGGUGAAAGUCCCGUACACGAAGAUGCACAGGUUGUGAGCUCGAUGAGUAGGGCGGGACACGAGAUAUCCUGUCUGAAGAUGGGGGGACCAUCCUCCAAGGCUAAAUACUCCUGACUGACCGAUAGUGAACCAGUACCGUGAGGGAAAGGCGAAAAGAACCCCGGCGAGGGGAGUGAAAUAGAACCUGAAACCGUGUACGUACAAGCAGUGGGAGCCCCACCACCAAAACACUUCCGGGCCGAAAGGCGAUGCGGAUGUCGAGGUGACGGUUGUCAUCGCGUUUUUUGCGAUGAGCAACACACAAAACAAGCAGUGAGUGUUUUGGGGUGGGGUGACUGCGUACCUUUUGUAUAAUGGGUCAGCGACUUAUAUUCUGUAGCAAGGUUAACCGAAUAGGGGAGCCGCAGGGAAACCGAGUCUUAACUGGGCGUUAAGUUGCAGGGUAUAGACCCGAAACCCGGUGAUCUAGCCAUGGGCAGGUUGAAGGUUGGGUAACACUAACUGGAGGACCGAACCGACUAAUGUUGAAAAAUUAGCGGAUGACUUGUGGCUGGGGGUGAAAGGCCAAUCAAACCGGGAGAUAGCUGGUUCUCCCCGAAAGCUAUUUAGGUAGCGCCUCGUGAAUUCAUCUUCGGGGGUAGAGCACUGUUUCGACUAGGGGGUCAUCCCGACUUACCAACUCGAUGCAAACUGCGAAUACCGAAGAAUGUUAUCACGGGAGACACACGGCGGGUGCUAACGUCCGUCGUGAAGAGGGAAACAACCCAGACCGCCAGCUAAGGUCCCAAAGUCAUGGUUAAGUGGGAAACGAUGUGGGAAGGCCCAGACAGCCAGGAUGUUGGCUUAGAAGCAGCCAUCAUUUAAAGAAAGCGUAAUAGCUCACUGGUCGAGUCGGCCUGCGCGGAAGAUGUAACGGGGCUAAACCAUGCACCGAAGCUGCGGCAGCGAACGUAUCACCCAAGACAAUUUGGCGAUGUGGAAUGACGAUUGAUGGCGCGAAGCGACAUCAAUGCGUUUUACAAAGUCGAGUUGGCUUAGGGAUACGUUCGUUGGGUAGGGGAGCGUUCUGUAAGCCGUUGAAGGUGGCCUGUGAGGGUUGCUGGAGGUAUCAGAAGUGCGAAUGCUGACAUAAGUAACGAUAAUGCGGGUGAAAAACCCGCACGCCGGAAGACCAAGGGUUCCUGUCCAACGUUAAUCGGGGCAGGGUGAGUCGACCCCUAAGGCGAGGCCGAAAGGCGUAGUCGAUGGGAAACGGGUUAAUAUUCCCGUACUGGUUGUUACUGCGAAGGGGGGACGGAGAAAGCUAGGUUAGCCGGGCGACGGUUGUCCCGGUUUAAGCGUGCAGGUGGGUGUUUUUGGUAAAUCCGGAACACUGUUAACACUGAGGCGUGAUGACGAGUCACUACGGUGAUGAAGUAACCGAUGCUACGCUUCCAGGAAAAGCCUCUAAGCUCUAGGUAACAAUCAAUCGUACCCCAAACCGACACAGGUGGUCAGGUAGAGAAUACUCAGGCGCUUGAGAGAACUCGGGUGAAGGAACUAGGCAAAAUGGUGCCGUAACUUCGGGAGAAGGCACGCUGGAUUUGGUGAAGUCCCUUGCGGAUGGAGCUGAGACCAGUCGCAGAUACCAGCUGGCUGCAACUGUUUAAUAAAAACACAGCACUGUGCAAACACGAAAGUGGACGUAUACGGUGUGACGCCUGCCCGGUGCCGGAAGGUUAAUUGAUGGGGUAAGCUUUCGGGCGAAGCUCUUGAUCGAAGCCCCGGUAAACGGCGGCCGUAACUAUAACGGUCCUAAGGUAGCGAAAUUCCUUGUCGGGUAAGUUCCGACCUGCACGAAUGGCGUAAUGAUGGCCAGGCUGUCUCCACCCGAGACUCAGUGAAAUUGAACUCGCUGUGAAGAUGCAGUGUACCCGCGGCAAGACGGAAAGACCCCGUGAACCUUUACUAUAGCUUGACACUGAACCUUGAGCCUUGAUGUGUAGGAUAGGUGGGAGGCUUUGAAGCGUGGACGCCAGUCUGCGUGGAGCCGACCUUGAAAUACCACCCUUUAAUGUUUGAUGUUCUAACGUGGGCCCCUGAGCGGGGUUGCGGACAGUGUCUGGUGGGUAGUUUGACUGGGGCGGUCUCCUCCCAAAGAGUAACGGAGGAGCACGAAGGUUAGCUAAUCCUGGUCGGACAUCAGGAGGUUAGUGCAAAGGCAUAAGCUAGCUUGACUGCGAGAGUGACGGCUCGAGCAGGUGCGAAAGCAGGUCUUAGUGAUCCGGUGGUUCUGAAUGGAAGGGCCAUCGCUCAACGGAUAAAAGGUACUCCGGGGAUAACAGGCUGAUACCGCCCAAGAGUUCAUAUCGACGGCGGUGUUUGGCACCUCGAUGUCGGCUCAUCACAUCCUGGGGCUGAAGUAGGUCCCAAGGGUAUGGCUGUUCGCCAUUUAAAGUGGUACGCGAGCUGGGUUUAGAACGUCGUGAGACAGUUCGGUCCCUAUCUGCCGUGGGCGUUGGAAGAUUGAGAGGGGUUGCUCCUAGUACGAGAGGACCGGAGUGAACGCACCACUGGUGUACGGGUUGUGAUGCCAAUUGCAUUGCCCGGUAGCUAAGUGCGGAAGAGAUAACCGCUGAAAGCAUCUAAGCGGGAAACUUGCCUCGAGAUGAGUCUUCCCUGGGACCUUGAGUCCCCUAAAGGGCCGUUGAAGACGACGACGUAGAUAGGCCGGGUGUGUAAGCGCAGCGAUGCGUUGAGCUAACCGGUACUAAUGACCCGAGAGGCUUAACCUUACAACACCGAAGGUGUUUUAG